GCAUGCCUACAACAUAGUGUUAAUGCAUUGGAUCCCAUUAGAACUCCACAGUUAAGCGUGCUCAAGCUAGAGUAGUACUGGAAUAGGUGACCGCCCGAGAAGUCCUAGAGUUUUAUAUGCC
rfam:Picea glauca, whole genome shotgun sequence.